UCUACAUUUAGAGGUUCAAUCUUGCGAUGCUUGACAAUUGUGUGUGUUAAUGCAGUAAUCAUAUCCGUAACCAUUUAUGCAUACGAUUGUCUCACUACCAUAUCUGUACAACCUGGGCUCUCAUACUAGAUGAUGACAAUCGGUGGAGGGGAUAUAAAAAGAGGAAAGGUCGGUCUUUUCUCUUUGCAACUGAGAACAGAACAAAACCAGAAAAGAAAAGAAAGAAGAAGAAGGAAGGAGAAGGAAGGAGAAGGAAGAAGAAGAGAGAGAGAGAUUACCAAACAGCAGCUCAACCUCUAUUGUACCUUGCGCAGCAAGCACAAGAAGAGAGAAAGAAGAAAAAGAAGAAGAGAAGAGAAGGAAAGAAGAGGAGGAAGAAAUCAAGAGGAAAUUGAGGUUUUGGGACAACAGCUGUUUGAUUCUUUCUCCUGGAUACUGGUAGAAUCAAAUUUCUGCAGAAAAAGGGGCAACAGGCAAGAGACCACAGGCAGGCCGGUUGACUCCAGAGGUCCCCAUCCGGUUAAUUUUUCAGAGGCGAGAAAGGGAAGUUGAAUUGUAGUGCGGGAAUCUACCCAACUCGGAGAAGUGACUUGUCUGACCUUGACUACCAAGAUGCCGAGGCCAUAUCCUUUGUUAGAUGAUGGAAACCGGUGUUGAGGUGGGAUUGGACUUUAGCAGCGGUUAUGAAGCUUAUGUAGGCGAGAUGUUGGGAUUUGAAGAGCUUCACUAUUAUUCAGUUCUUCCUUCUUGAUGUAUAUAUUUAUGGAUGUGUAGUAAGUAGUAUUGUAGCCUAUGGUUGUUUUCAGACAUAAAAUUUUGUAUAAUGUAAUUAAUUUAUCACUUUAGUACAUCACCAGUGAUAUUUAUGAGAUUUUAUUGCA